GCAGAGUUUCCUUGUCUGAAGGACACACAGGGGAAAGGUUAUGUGAGAGGCAUGGUACAUCCGUGGUCGGAGGAACCGGCCAGCCACAGGCUUCUUGGAGGAACGACUGAGGAACAUCAGAAAGAAAAUGCGUCAGGAACGCUUUUCAGUCCAGACUGCUUCAACAACAAACAACGAACAACAUAUAAGCAGCACCUUGGUUAUACCAGACCAAACCAUUUCAUCUGAGAGGGCAC